rnacentral:rRNA from 1 species
GAUGAACGCUGGCGGCGUGCCUAAUACAUGCAAGUCGAGCGAACUUUUGGGAGCUUGCUCCCAAAAGUUAGCGGCGGACGGGUGAGUAACACGUGGGUAACCUGCCUGUAAGACUGGGAUAACUUCGGGAAACCGGAGCUAAUACCGGAUAACAUUGAAGACCACAUGGCUUUCAAUUAAAAGGUGGCUUUUAGCUACCACUUACAGAUGGACCCGCGGCGCAUUAGCUAGUUGGUGAGGUAACGGCUCACCAAGGCGACGAUGCGUAGCCGACCUGAGAGGGUGAUCGGCCACACUGGGACUGAGACACGGCCCAGACUCCUACGGGAGGCAGCAGUAGGGAAUCUUCCGCAAUGGACGAAAGUCUGACGGAGCAACGCCGCGUGAGCGAAGAAGGCCUUCGGGUCGUAAAGCUCUGUUGUUAGGGAAGAACAAGUAUCGUUCGAAUAGGGCGGUACCUUGACGGUACCUAACCAGAAAGCCACGGCUAACUACGUG